CUCCGUCCCUGAAUUCCAUGGAGAGAUAUGGACUAAGAUAGACCUCCCUGUAUUAAGUAGCCAGGCCCUGAAAAACUCCUUGCUCUGCCAAAGGAUCUGGAUGUAGAAGCCUCAGCUACUUCUCUAGCCACAGCUGCCUGUGUGCAGCCAUGCUCCCCACUGUGAACUAAACCUCUGAAACUCAAUGAAUCCCUAACUAAGACAGUCACCACCACCAUCAUCCUGGAGCCAUGCAGGCAAGCAGUUAGACGCAAGGGAAACUAGACACGUGCAGAUCUUGGAUCUUGGUAGCAGUGUCUCCUGAUGGACCGAUGCCCUUUCUUGGCUAGGUGUCUUUGAAGCUGAGGUUAGGCCAUUCUGCUAUACCAGCUGCCACCCCUGUACACCAGUGAAGGGACUCCAUCUACAGAAGACCCCAGCACUAUGACGUCAUUCACACAGUCACUUCCAAGCUUUGCUUUUUGAUAUUUUGUUUUUGCUUUUGUGGGCUUUUCUAGAGGAUCCUGAGAAGCAAUCCUAAAAGGGAAGAUCCCGUCUGCCAUACUCCAUUAAUGUGCUACGCAACUCAAAAAUAGUUAUAAAAAAGUUUUUUAAAAAGUCACCGCACAGAAUAGGGUGGGCUGCCUCUCUCUUUCUGAGUAGCCUACAUCAGUCUCUUUUGGAGUGUUUGCUUUGCUUUGUUAAAGAAACUGCUCAAACGGGCUCUCUCAGUUGAAUUCUUUCCUUCGAGAAGAUGUGAGCCAUGUGACCUCUCCUGGACCCCACAGCCAUUCCUUCGGUGUGACGGUGGAAAGUGCAUGACUAGACAGUUGCCCACACCCAACCGGUCAUGCGACAGGAAGCAAUGCCUUCUGCUAGUGUACUGGGAAAGAAAUUGCUAACAGUUCAGGUUGAAAUUUUUAUUCAACUUUCUAUUUGGAAUUUUUUUUAAGAUGGAAAUUUUAAAAAGCUG